CACAAACUUUUAGAUCGUAUAGUUAUUAGGCUGGCUCCAACAUUGGCAUGCAAAUUCGACGUCUAUUUUCUCCGUACCGCGUACCACUAGAGUUGCAAAAUCCAACGUCAUGUUCACCCAACGCAUAUCGACCAGCAUCACAAGAAGACAAGACAACUUUCCUGCAAUGUGCUAGAGCGUUGAGUCAGCGAUGUCUGAUAUGACUGAAACGCGUUUCGUUGUUGAGAUGAUUCAAGGAUUUCAGAGAUUUUCGUUUGAACAGUAGAAUUUUAGUUUAGGACUAUUGUCUCUCAUUUUUCCAUUUGUGUCCAUGCAUCGAAACUAGAAGAUAUUUGAGGAAUGCUCUACAGGACAUUGAAAAUGCAAUGUUGAUUAUGCGGUCUUCACACCAAACCUAAGUUGGAUGCACAGUAAAUCUGUGUAGAUUGCCAACUGUGCUGACUUGGACCUGUAGUUGUUGCUAGUAGAGACAGUUCUUCAAGUGAUUCUGAGGUCUUGGGCAGGGGAUAGCUCGGCUCCUUCUGGAUCGUCCCAUCUAUCAUAGCAUUCGCUCUUGGACGCCGAGGUUUGGCAUGAAUGCCUCCGAUGAUGCGUGCCCUAAUCAAAACAAGAGCUGGCGUUUGCCGCUGGAGUGUCAUCGUCUCUGAAGAGGCGUCGUGCCAAACUUUAUGCUUCCAAGAGCUCUUUUGCCUCUUGACGAUGCUCUGUUCUAGAGACCUGUUUUCUAUCCAGAGGCCGCUAGAAGCUCAAACCUUUGAAGACGAUUAGCAAGCGGAACUAAUCAGUCAGAACAGAGUCAUCUACCCCAAGUUGACGAAUGCCGCUGAUUCCUCUACACUCAGCAGAUUGUUUCUCUCGUAAUCAUGAAAGGUUGUGAUUCGGCUUUGAUUUUGCAACCGAUAAGAAAAAGAUUUAGAGCUUUUUCUUCAUACACUGAUUCUAUUGCAGUAGAAGAAAAUACAAUCAACUGCAAAUAUAUAUAAUAUUCCAUCGUGCAGUUUAAUAGCGUACAGUUCAACUA